ensembl:snoRNA SNORD24 Small nucleolar RNA SNORD24
GGACAAUGAUGUUUAUAUAUUUGCUAUCUGAACUACUGUGGACAACCCACCAAGAUCUCUGAGUCU